rnacentral:tRNA from 1 species
GGUCCUGUGGCUAAACUGGAUAGAGCAGCCCGCUCCGAAUGGGCAGGUUGCAGGUUCGAAUUCUGCCGGACCG